CCUGUUUUAUGUUGCAGUCAUGUGAUUCAUUGAAAACUUUUCAAAGAGUCAGUUAUCACAGGAUCCUUUCUGUGCGAUCGCCGAUCACAAAAAGGAUGAGAGACCAUUUGCAACUUACCAAGCCGAUGGAAGGGCCAAGGCCUCCAGUCAUCUCUAUCUGGUGGUGUUUCAUCAUGUAGGCCAGCAUCUCCCUCCAGUCAUAGCCAUCAGGGAUGGCAAUGGUGGUGACAGAGGGAAGCCUCAAGUCCUGCAGGACGUGUCACAAAAUAAAAAUGGUCACAACAGGGCAACAGCAAUGAGGAAUGCUGGAAAGCUCUUUGGUGUCCUUCUGCACAAAACACCCAGCAUGUUGUUUUACUUGUCUGCCUCACCCGUUCAGGGAUGAAGAGCUUGAGACCCAAGUCCUCCAGUCCUCUGUACAGGUACGCUGCCACCUCCUUGU